rnacentral:misc_RNA from 1 species
UAAUAAGUGUUUAUGGCACUUCUUAAAUCCAUAUCCACCUUGUGUGCAAUGUCAGCCGUUUUCUUUAUGAUAGCGGCCAAACAUCAACCUAUUUUUUAACUGUCUGUCUGAAAACUAUUAUGAAUAAACAAUUCAAAUA